UCCCAUUCACAACAAAAAUUGUGGAUGUGGGUUGUUGUUGAUACUGAAACAGGCGUGCUCAAUGGAAUACCAUUGAGCGCAAGAUGCGUUCAAAGACUCGAUGAUUCACUGAAUAUGCAAUUCACACUAGUUAUCGCACUUUGCUACGUUCUUCAUCGAUGCGAGAACCAAGAGAUCCGUUGUUAAAAGUUGUUUUAUAAGUUUUUUACGCUUAUGUUACAAUAUUAAUUCUGAAUUCUUUUGGUAAAUAAUGAAUUAGGAUACCAGGCCUAAGCCUGACUUUAGCUAGGUUAACAUCCUAAAGACCUAUCCCUAUAAUCUUUAGGCAAUCCCUCAAAACGCUAAACAGUAAAACAGUUCACAGUAAAUUAGAAAUAUGCAUAAGCAUACUCAAAUUAUUUAAUGAUCCUUCCGUAGGGUGAACCUGCGGAAGGAUCAUUAAAUAAUUUGAGUAUGCUUAUGCAUAUUUCUAAUUUACUGUGAACUGUUUUACUGUUUAGCGUUUUGAGGGAUUGCCUAAAGAUUAUAGGGAUAGGUCUUUAGGAUGUUAACCUAGCUAAAGUCAGGCUUAGGCCUGGUAUCCUAAUUCAUUAUUUACCAAAAGAAUUCAGAAUUAAUAUUGUAACAUAAGCGUAAAAAACUUAUAAAACAACUUUUAACAACGGAUCUCUUGGUUCUCGCAUCGAUGAAGAACGUAGCAAAGUGCGAUAACUAGUGUGAAUUGCAUAUUCAGUGAAUCAUCGAGUCUUUGAACGCAUCUUGCGCUCAAUGGUAUUCCAUUGAGCACGCCUGUUUCAGUAUCAACAACAACCCACAUCCACAAUUUUGUUGUGAAUGGAAGUGAGAGUAUCGAUGUAAAAAUUGAACUCUUUAAAACUAUUAGGCCUGAACUAUUGUUCUAUUAGCCUGAACAUUUUUUUAAUAUAAAGGAAUGCUCUAGUUAAAAGACUAUCUUGGGGGCCUCCCAAAUAAAUCAUUUUUUUAAACUUGAUCUGAAAUCAGGUGGGAUUACCCGCUGAACUUAAGCAUAUCAAUAAGCGGAGGAA
rnacentral:rRNA from 1 species